UUUCCGGCCAAAGCAAUUGAAGCUGCAGCUGCUACGGCCGCGACUCCGAAGUCCUUUAGAGAUGAAUUCACUGUGAGCUUCGGUGACGCAGCAACAGCGGUGUUGAUUCUGACGGAGGCGGAGGAUUUGAUGGUUGAGGCUUUAAGGCCGGUGAAAGAUGGGAUUGCGACGGUGGCUGAAGUUACUGAGGCCAUGAUAAUGAUUCUUUAGAGUGAUUUGAUAAGGUUUUCUAUUUUCUAUUCUUUGGUUCGAUUGAGAGCAGUGUGAGGUUUAUGAGUUUUAUGUGGUGAGAGAAAGAAGUGAGAUAGGACAAUGGAUGGCUCUCAAAGCAAGCUCC
rnacentral:lncRNA from 1 species